rnacentral:rRNA from 1 species
AUGAACGCUGGCGGCGUGCUUAACACCUGCAAGUCGCACGGUGAAGGCGGAGCUUGCUCUGCUGGAUCAGUGGCGAACGGGUGAGUAACACGUGAGCAAUCUGCCCCUGACUCUGGGAUAAGCGCUGGAAACGGCGUCUAAUACUGGAUACGAGCUGCGAAGGCAUCUUCAGCAGCUGGAAAGAAUUUCGGUCAGGGAUGAGCUCGCGGCCUAUCAGCUUGUUGGUGAGGUAAUGGCUCACCAAGGCGUCGACGGGUAGCCGGCCUGAGAGGGUGACCGGCCACACUGGGACUGAGACACGGCCCAGACUCCUACGGGAGGCAGCAGUGGGGAAUAUUGCACAAUGGGCGAAAGCCUGAUGCAGCAACGCCGCGUGAGGGACGACGGCCUUCGGGUUGUAAACCUCUUUUAGCAGGGAAGAAGCGAAAGUGACGGUACCUGCAGAAAAAGCGCCGGCUAACUACGUG